ACCAGACUCCUACGGGAGGCAGCAGUGAGGAAUAUUGGUCAAUGGGCUUACGCCUGAACCAGCCAAGUCGCGUGAGGGAAGACUGCCCUAUGGGUUGUAAACCUCUUUUGCCAGGGAGCAACGCCGGCUACGUGUAGCCGGACUGAGAGUACCUGAAGAAAAAGCAUCGGCUAACUCCGUGCCAGCAGCCGCGGUAAUACGGAGGAUGCGAGCGUUAUCCGGAUUUAUUGGGUUUAAAGGGUGCGUAGGCGGAAUAUCAAGUCAGCGGUAAAAAUUCGGGGCUCAACCCCGUCGUGCCGUUGAAACUGGGUGCCUUGAGUGGGCGAGAAGUACGCGGAAUGCGUGGUGUAGCGGUGAAAUGCAUAGAUAUCACGCAGAACUCCGAUUGCGAAGGCAGCAUACCGGCGCCCAACUGACGCUGAAGCACGAAAGCGUGGGUAUCGAACAGGAUUAGAUACCCUAGUAC
rnacentral:rRNA from 1 species